GGCUGCACCUGCAGCAUAUGGAAGUUCCCAGGCUAGGGGUUGAAUCAGAGCUGCAGUUGCCAACCUACACCACAGCCCAGGCAAUGCCAAAUCCUUUAACCCACUGAGCAAGGCCAGGGACAGAACCUGUGUUCUCAUGGAUUCAUUUCCACUGAGCCACAACGGGAACUCCCUUCCAUAUUGUCUUUUUAAAAUAAGAUUUGUUAACAACAAAACCAAUGUGUGUAUUAUUUUAUACAUCUUACAGUUAGAAAAUGGAUGCGAAAAGACACCAUGCUUACAGAAUCCACAUGCUACUUUAACAGACAAAACCUUAAAGACAUCUAUUUUAAAUGACAGCUCUUACUGUGAGAGAUUUGCUUCAUAUUCUACCUAUUAUUCCUGGACAUACACAGGCUUCCGAGGGUCUUAUGUUCGUCUGUUUGUUCACUUUAGUUUUAUUUUUCUUUUUAGAUCUCCUGCCCAUGUGUAAUGAAAGAACAGAGAAAAUACCAUGGGGUAGAGAGUAGGAUACAGAUGGCACACAGGUGAUGCCCCAGAAGCUACAUGCCCUGAAAACUGAAGUCAAGUUGUAGUGAGGAUAAUUUUCUAGCAAUAGCAUGACUCCAUGCAUUUGGCCCUCCAUGCAUUUACUUCAUUUGGUCCAUGGGUGAACUUGUCACAUUACAUUUAUAAGAAGCAAUAAACCUUUCUGCUUCCAGUACUUCCUGGACCUCCAGUGAGCUCCUACUAGCAACAUUCUGUGUCCAAGUAAUGUUUUUCCUACCUGCAUCCAAACCUGAUUGUCAAAGACACAAAAUACAAUAUCUUUUGGUCCCUCUUUUGCUGAGCUAGCAGCAUGGCAUCUAGCAGACACUUGCAAGUUUGAGAACUGUUAUGAAAUUCAGUUGAAUUAUACCCACCAGCCCCAUCUCAAAUUCAUAUGUUGAAGUCUAACCCCAGUAGCUCAGAAUGUGAUGGUAUUUGGAGAAAGGAUCUUCACAGAGCUAAGCAAGUUAAAACGAGGAUAUAAGUUGGGCCCUAAUCCACUAUGACUGUCAUCAUUUAGUCAUUUGCUUCUUAUGCUCAUUUAAUAAAUAAUUGAGACUGACCUGAAAAGGCUUUCAGAUCUACCAUUAGAAAUCCCUCACUCUGGCUACCAAGCAGUCUUUCAGCUGUUUUAUUUUAUUUUUUAUUUAAAAAAAAUAUUUUUGGCCACACUCAUGGCAUGAGGACAUUUUGGCCUAGAGAUCAAACCCAUGCCAUAGCACUAACCAGAGCCACGGGAGACCAUAUUGGAUCCUUAACCAGGGAAUUCCUACUGAGCAGUCUUUAAACAAGAAAUUCUAAUUUUUUUUUUUUUUUGUUCAAAGUCUGCCUCAGAUUAAAUCCAUUCUAAUUUCUGCCUUGAGUAAGAAAAUUUCACUUUUGUUUGUCCCGUCAAGGUGUAGAACUUUUUUUCCUACAGACUAACAUUAGCCCAGCAAGUCAUCACCCUAUACAAUAAGAUCAAGAUUUCAAUGACAUUUUCUUCUGGGUCCAAAAGUUUCAGAUGCGAGUUAUACAUCAUUUUAUUGUUCACUUACUACAUCAAAAUGCAUAGCAAAUAUAUGCUUCCCUUUAUAUGACACAUGCAUGUCCAUGGGCCAUAUGUACACACACUACACACAUACAUCAGUCACAUUUUCCCAUUUCACAAAGUGUAGCCAUGUACCCAGAACUGGCCCAUCCUAGGGGUCACAGGUAGAACUCUCACCUGGAGUGGGAGGGAAGAGGGAAAGGAACUUAACAUGUAUUUACCAGCUACUGUACAUACGUAAAGUUAAGACAUAUAAUUAAUAUAACAAUGCUGUGAGGUAUGUACCAUUAUGUUUUACAGAUAAAACAAAAUGAACUAAGAGUGCUAAUAGUCAUUCACAUUUAAAUGUCCUGGCCAAGAUAGACACUUUUCUUUUCCCCCAAGUGUUCAGUGCAGUCCCACCAUAUGUAUGCACAUAUAUCCAGGCUUUUUCUUUAAUCAGAAGAAACUUCUAAAAGGCCCAGAAAAAGAAGUCCCAUUCAGUCCUUCUGAUCACAGCAAAGUUUCCUCCUUGCAAGUUUCCAUAGCAGGGCCAGGAGCACCUGGAGGCAGGCGAUCUUUUCUCCCUACCUGUCAAGACUCAGCUUACAUGCCAUCCAUCUCACAGGCCCAGGGAGUAUUUAAUGGGGCCGAUUUGGAUCAGUGGAGAUUGGUGUUUAGGCCGUUCUCCAAGACCUCGAGAAUGGCUGGGAAACAUGCCGAUUUUUGGCAAGGGGUCCAGUGCUUAUUGAGGUUUUAUGUUUAAAUAAACCUAACAUUUUUUGUUAUUGCUGUUGUUGCCUGUUGUUGAAAGCUCUUUCAAUUAUUCAAAUCAAAUCAAUCAGAAUUUAUCAAGCACCUAUUCUGUGCCAGACACAGCAGGAGUGUAAAAAGAUCACGAAGACAGUGCUCCAGAAACUUGAGGAACUAGGAGGAUGCAAUACACCCACAAACAAUGCUAAGAGGCAAAGACAGGAACGAUGAAAGGAGUCCAGAUAAACAGCGACAGGAAUUCAGACAAAGGAGACAUUAUUUCUGGUUGGAAAAAAGACACCAUGGAUAGGGAGCUAGCAUGAGAUCCAAACCUUUAGCAAUUCAGUCAUCCAUUCAAAAAGUGUUUAGUGAUCAGCUACCACGUGCCAGGCAUGUGCUAAGAACUAGAGAUAUAAGAGGGACAUAAUCCCUGCCCUCAAAGUAUCUGCAGUCUAGCGAUUAAUGAGACAAUGAGCAAGUAAACUAAUUAAUUAAUUAUAGCUUGUUAUGGGCACUAAGAAUUUAAUGAGCAGAAUGCACUGAUAGUACUAACCAGGGUAGGUGGUGGGGUAGGGUACCUACUUUGGCAAAGUGGGUAGGGAAGGUCUUUCUACAGAGAUGAUUUUUA
rnacentral:lncRNA from 1 species